AUGAACGCUGGCGGCGUGCCUAAUACAUGCAAGUCGAGCGAACAGAUGAGGAGCUUGCUCCGCUGACGUUAGCGGCGGACGGGUGAGUAACACGUGGAUAACCUACCUAUAAGACUGGGAUAACUUCGGGAAACCGGAGCUAAUACCGGAUAAUAUAUUGAACCGCAUGGUUCAAUAGUGAAAGACGGUUUUGCUGUCACUUAUAGAUGGAUCCGCGCCGCAUUAGCUAGUUGGUAAGGUAACGGCUUACCAAGGCAACGAUGCGUAGCCGACCUGAGAGGGUGAUCGGCCACACUGGAACUGAGACACGGUCCAGACUCCUACGGGAGGCAGCAGUAGGGAAUCUUCCGCAAUGGGCGAAAGCCUGACGGAGCAACGCCGCGUGAGUGAUGAAGGUCUUCGGAUCGUAAAACUCUGUUAUUAGGGAAGAACAAAUGUGUAAGUAACUAUGCACGUCUUGACGGUACCUAAUCAGAAAGCCACGGCUAACUACGUG
rnacentral:rRNA from 1 species